rnacentral:rRNA from 1 species
UGGGGAAUAUUGCACAAUGGGCGGAAGCCUGAUGCAGCGACGCCUCGUGGUGGAAGAAGGCCUUCUGGUCGUAAACUCUUUUCGACAGGGACGAAGCUUGUGUGACGGUACCAGUAUAAGAAGCACCGGCUAACUACGUGCCAGCAGCCGCGGUAAUACGUAGGUUGCGAGCGUUGUCCGGAAUUACUGGGCGUAAAGAGCUCGUAGGUGGUUUGUCGCGUCGUCUGUGAAAUUCCGAGGCUUAACUCCGGGCGUGCAGGCGAUACGGGCUGACUUGAGUGCUGUAGGGGAGACUGGAAGUCCUGGUGUAGCGGUGGAAUGCGCAGAUAUCAGGAGGAACACCGAUGGCGGAGGCAGGUCUCUGGGCAGUAACUAACGCUGAGGAGCGGAAACAUCGGUAGCGAACAGG